AGAAAAGGCAGGGACGGGAUGGCCGAGCACAGCCCCGAGCCUCAGGGACCUGGGCCUUCUGCUCCUCCCCUCUCCCGCCUGCUCCCUGGCCUGGGCCUUCUGGGGCUCUCAGGACCCAGGGCACCAACACCUCUGCAUGCCACCUCCUGCUCCGGCACCUCCAGGACUGGCCAUGUGAGGAGGGGAGCCAGGCUCAGAGGCCAGGCCACCACAGGGCUCCUGCACAGGAAAACAGGAAGCAGAAACAGGUCCACACCUAGCGCCUCCAGCCCUCAGGCCAGGGCCAGGAAACGGCUGCCAACACACCUGAAGUGAGGACCUGCAGGGCAGGUGAGGACCAGGUGAGGACCAGAUGAGGACCCAUGGGGCAGGUAAGGACCAGGUGAGGACCAGGAAACCAGGAAAGGACACACAGGGCAGGUGAGGACCAGGUGAGGACCCAUGGGGCAGGUGAGGACUAGGUGGGACCAGAUGAGGACCCACAGGGCAGGUGGGGACCAGGUGAGGACCCACAGAGCAGGUGAGGACCAGGUAAGGACCCACAGGGCAGGUGAGGACUAGGUGAAGACCAGGUGAGGACCCACAGGGCAGGUAAGGACUAGGUGGGACCAGGUGAGGACCAGGUAAGGACACACAGGGCAGGUGAGGACCAGGUGAGGACCCAUGGGGAAGGUGAGGACCAGGUGAGGACCAGGUGAGGACCCAAAGGGGAGGUGGGGACCAGGUGAGGACCCACAGGGCAGGUGGGGACCAAGUGAGGACCCCAGGGCAGGUGGGGACCAGGUGAGGACCCACAGGGCAGGUGAGGACUAGGUGGGACCAGGUGAGGACCAGGUAAGGACACACAGGGCAGGUGAGGACCAGGUGAGGACCCAUGGGGAAGGUGAGGACUAGGUGAGGACCAGGUGAGGACCCUCGGGGCAGGUGAGGAGCAGGUGAGGACCCGUGGGGCAAGGAAGUUUUAAUGGCUGUGGGCCCCUCCUGGACACCAGCUCUUCCAGCAAGUCAGGGUGGCACCAGCCCCAGGGUGGCACACCCUGGCUUUUGACAAAGGUGCGUGUCCAGCAAGGGCGACUGCUCAGCUAGGCCGAGCCCUGGUGGGCGUCACCCACCACGCACUGCUGGCAGCUCUCCCGUGGGCUGGGCCCAGCAGGUGGGUGAAGUCGACACAGGGAAGCUCACAGGACAGGGGCCACCUGCCCAGGGGGAAGCAGGGCCCUGGGAGAGCGGGUGGGUCCUCUGGGUCCAUCCUGCCCGUAGAUGAGAAGGGCAACAACCGCUGCUGGGGGGCUCAGGACUGCCGGGGCACACCCUUCUCUCCAGGGGUGUCCUGAGCCCAAGCCUGCCACUCCCUGGAUGUGGGCAACUGGCAGGUCCUCCCCCAUGUCAGCCCCGCUGCCGCACAACRGGUCGGCAGAAGCAGCUAACGAGAACCAGCUCCACUCUGCAGCCCCCUGGGUUGGGCCUGCACUCUGCCACCACGGGCCAGGAGGGCACUGGAGUGGGACCCCCGAGUCCCCAGGAAAGUGAUGGCACCUGCAGCUUCCACCCAGCCAGGCGUCCCUGCUCAUGGCCUCCCAGCUAAGAGGGCUGACCCUGCCCUUGGCCAGACAGCAAGCCUGGCCACAGAGCAGGAAGUCCACGAGCGUGUGCCCACACACGUGCCCGGUCUGCGUCCAUGUGUGAGCUGCCCACCUGGGACUGAGAGGAGUGUCCUGCACUGCAGGGGUCCAGGUGGGGCCUGUGUGCAUGUGUGCGCGCCAGGCUGGGCAGGUGGGGCAGCUCCA